GGGCCGGUAGAUCAGUGGAAGAUCGCCUGCUUUGCAAGCAGGAGGCCAUGGGUUCAAAUCCCAUCCGGUCCA
rnacentral:tRNA from 1 species